CCCUUAGAUGUUCUGGGCCGCACGCGCGCUACACUGACGAAUGCAACGAGCUUAUAACCUUGGCCGAAAGGUCUGGGUAAUCUCCAAAUUUCGUCGUGAUGGGGAUAGAUUAUUGCAAUUAUUAAUCUUCAACGAGGAAUGCCUAGUAAGCGCAAGUCAUCAGCUUGCGUUGAUUACGUCCCUGCCCUUUGUACACACCGCCCGUCGCUCCUACCGAUUGAAUGGUCCGGUGAAGCGUUCGGACCGUGGCCUUUGGACGGUUCGCCGUCUGUUGGCUGCGGGAAGUUCGUUAAACCUUAUCAUUUAGCGGAAGGAGAAGUCGUAACA
rnacentral:rRNA from 1 species